rnacentral:rRNA from 1 species
AUUGAACGCUGGCGGCAGGCCUAACACAUGCACGUCGGGCGAGCGGAGGACGGGUGAGUAAUGUAUGGGGAGCUGCCUGACGGAGGGGGAUAACUGAUGGAAACGGUAGCUAAUACAGCAUACAAUCAGAUCAACCCAUAUGGGAUUAGCUGGUAGGGGAGGUAAAGGCUCACCUAGGCGACGAUCCCUAGCCGGUCUGAGAGGAUGAUCAGCCAUACUGGGACUGAGACACGGCCCAGACUCCUACGGGAGGCAGCAGUGGGGAAUAUUGCACAACGGGCGCAAGCCUGAUGCAGCCAUGCCGCGUGUAUGAAGAAGGCCUUCGGGUUGUAAAGUACUUUCAGUCGGGAGGCGUUACUGACAGAAGAAGCACCGGCUAACUCCGUGCCAGCCGCCGCGGUAAUUC